UUGAUGCUUGAUAAGCGACAUGGAAGCUUGGGAAAGAAGCGGGUCAAUCGGGACUAACGCGCACGGGAAGCAUAUUCGAAUGUUAGGUAAGUAAAGCUUUGUAACACCCCAAAAACGGGUUUGGUAAUCAAACCACGUUAAUAGAAAUGACGGGUAAAAUGUCGUUAGUGGUAAAAAUUAACCCGGUAAAUAUUAGGAUCUAAAUAAAUAAACUCGAUGUUAAUUAAAAAGGAGGAUAAAUACCUAGAGAAAACAAAGUAUGUAAAAGGCCGAGUUAACGGGACUUAAAAUAAAACAGGUUAUGACAUCCCGAACCCAUUAAGUUAACUAGGAAUAAUUAACCUAGUUAAUUAGAGGGAAUGUUAUUAGAAAUAAUUAGGUUGUGACCUACUUAAAACAAACCAAAACAUGAGGGACUAAAGGUGGGUAAAUAGGAAAAUGUUUUAAUUAAAACAUUUAUAAAACAAAAAUUAUUAAAUUAAAACACACAUAAAAGUGUGUGUUCUAGUUCGAUCGACCAGGGGAGAAGAAAAAGGGGUCUAAACCUAAUUUCAACAAAAGCAUCAAAUUGAAGGUCAAAUCUAGCCCGAAUCGGAUGCAUAAACACGUAUAAAUGAUCACCUAGUCGUGGGGAUCACAAGGUAUGUUGAAUUUUAUGAUUUGGUGAAUGUCAAGAGUGCCCGGAUGAAGAUCAAGCUCGAUGAGGAACCGAACACACGAUAUUAAAGCUUCCGCAUGGCGUUACGUCGUAACCUUUAAACGACGAACUCAAUUACAUCAUGUUGUACUAUUUUUUUAAAAAAAUUGUAAAAGUUUUAACUAACCUUAAUUAUCUAAAUUACAUGUCUGUUUCGUAAAGUAUAAGAAAACCGUAAAAUAAUAACAAGGGUGUUACAAGUUGGUAAUCAGAGCU
rnacentral:lncRNA from 1 species